rnacentral:rRNA from 1 species
GACGUAGGGCGCGAGCGUUGUCCGGAUUUAUUGGGCGUAAAGAGCUCGUAGGCGGCUCAUUGCGUCAACCGUGAAAACCUGCAGCUUAACUGUGGGCUUGCGGUUGAUACGGGUGGGCUGGAGUUCGGUAGGGGAGACUGGAAUUCCUGGUGUAGCGGUGAAAUGCGCAGAUAUCAGGAGGAACACCGGUGGCGAAGGCGGGUCUCUGGGCCGAUACUGACGCUGAGGAGCGAAAGCGUGGGGAGCGAACAGG